rnacentral:rRNA from 1 species
UAGGGAAUCUUCCACAAUGGACGCAAGUCUGAUGGAGCAACGCCGCGUGAGUGAAGAAGGUUUUCGGAUCGUAAAGCUCUGUUGUUGGUGAAGAAGGAUAGAGGUAGUAACUGGCCUUUAUUUGACGGUAAUCAACCAGAAAGUCACGGCUAACUACGUGCCAGCAGCCGCGGUAAUACGUAGGUGGCAAGCGUUGUCCGGAUUUAUUGGGCGUAAAGCGAGCGCAGGCGGAAGAAUAAGUCUGAUGUGAAAGCCUUCGGCUCAACCGAAGAACUGCAUCAGAAACUGUCAAUCUUGAGUGCAGAAGAGGAGAGUGGAACUCCAUGUGUAGCGGUGGAAUGCGUAGAUAUAUGGAAGAACACCAGUGGCGAAGGCGGCUCUCUGGUCUGCAACUGACGCUGAGGCUCGAAAGCAUGGGUAGCGAACAGG